AUAUGAAAAUAAGUACUAAGAAAAAAAUGGAUGAAAAAAAUAAAAUGAAAAAAAAAAAAAUAAAAUAUAUAAAUUCAUCAUCAGAUGAAGAAGAGGAUGAUGAUGGUAAUGAUGAUUUAGGAUUAAAACGACAAGAAAAAAAAAGAUUAAGAAAAUUAUAUAGACAAAAAAUAAAUGAAAAUAAAGAAAAAAUUGAUUAUGUAAAUUCAGCAUUAGAUAUUAAAUCUAUUAAUAAAAAUAAAAUUGGUUGGGAUUAUUAUAAUGAUGGAAAAAAAAGUGAUGAUGAAGAUAUAAAUGAACAAGAUUCGGGGAUGGAUGAUUUUGAUGAUGAUGAUGAUGAUGAUGAUUUUGAAGAUUCUGAUAUGAAUUCGGAUAAUGAAGAAUCUACAUUAACUUCUUAUGGUCAAGCUAUGAAGUCUUUAUUAAAACAACAAGUUAAUGAUGAAGAAGAUGACGAAUUAAAACAGUACUCAGAUGACGAUGACGAUGAAGAUGAAGAUGAUGAUGAAGAUGAUGAAAAGGAAAAGCGUAAAAAUGUUUCUUUAAAAAAUAAAAAAACAGUAACUACAAAAAAAAGAUUAAUGCAAAAUAAAUCAGAAAAUAAUAAUAAUAAAAAUGGAAAUAAAAAGAGAAAACUUAAUGUAAGUGGAAAAACAAAAUAUAAACGAGAUGAUGGAGAAGAUGAAUCAGAUGAUGAAACAGAGGAUGACGACGAUGAUGAAUCAGAUGAUGAUGACAACGAUGACGACGAUGAUGAUGAGGAUGAUGAUGAUGAGGAUGAAGAUGAGGAUGAAGAUGACGAUGAUGAAGAUGAUGAAGAUGAUGAAGAUGAUGAAGAUGACGAUGAUGAAGAUAGUGAUGAUGAAACCGAUAGUGAUGAUGCAGAAGAAGAGGAAAAAAAAACAAAAGAAGGAAAAAAAAAUGUAACACAACAAUCAAAACAAAAUAAUAAUAAUAAUAAUAAUAAUAAUAACCCUCCUACUAAUAUUAAUGAUUUUGUUAAAGAAAAAAUUAGAAGAAAAGAAAUAAAAAUAAGCGAAGCAAACUGCGCUAAACUUUUAUUAAAAAUUUUAAUAAAAAAUAAUGGUAAAAUGAAUAUAAUGACAUUAUUAGAUAUUUUAAAUAUUAAAGAAAAAAAUCAAACAUUUCUUAUUAUACAAAAACAUAUUAAAAAUUUAUGUAAUAUUAGUUCACAAACAAUAAAUAAUAAUAAAGUUAAAAUGAUAUCUUUAAAACCGCAAUAUGCGGAUAAAGCAUAGUUUAUUAGUACAUUACUGAUAGUUCAAAAAUUCAACACACACACACACAUGUACGUACCUUACCCGUGUAUCGUACAUAUAUAAGUAUGUAUAUAUCAACCAUAUUUUUGACAAUUUUAACAUAUUCAUCUAUCAAGUUGUUGCGUUCUUUCAUUCUUUUAUUUUAUUGUCAUUUAAC
rnacentral:lncRNA from 1 species